rnacentral:tRNA from 1 species
GGCAAAAUAUAGUAGUUGGUAACUUAAUAGGCUCAUAACCUAGAGUCGUGGGUUCGAUCCCCACUUUUGCUU